GUACAUUCUCUCAUACAUGUUUUCUGUAAUGUAGAUAUUCAAUCCACAUAUGCUUUCCCCAAGAAUCUUCAUUAAGUGGUAUUGAAUGAAUUGAUCAGAAGAUAUUUAAUAAAUAAGAACCAAGAGAGAUUAUGUAAAGAUUGGAAAAUGACUGAUUGGAAAGUUCAUCUCUUAUCCCAAGUUAUGGUUUAUAGAGGAAAGAAAACAUGAAUGGCUGAUCAUGGGAGCUUUGGUUACAGUCUCCUGGGAUCAUGGUCUCUGAUUCCUGGGGAGCACCCCUGAUUAUAUGUUAGAAAGCUGGUCUUUGAAGAUAGCUUGAAUUUGAAAAUGUCUCCAGUAUUCAGUAAGCAGUAGACGACCACAGGAUUAAGCUGGAAACAAAGCUUCAGGCUGCUGGCUCUACAUGUGAAGAUCUUAGAAGUCUG